rnacentral:lncRNA from 1 species
UUAACUUCCAUAUUUUAAAUUAUAAAAAUAAACUGGGAAACUAAAGCAAAUGUGCAUCCUUGCGGGACUCCAAGCCUGGGCACUGGCCGCCUGCGUGCACUCCUCUAAGUGUGCAUAACACGCCCGCAGGGGUUGCCAGCAGGAAGCCUGCGUUAACUUUAUCUCGUGGUGGGGAAGGUGGAGCCCACGCCCACACCUAGCAAGCUGGAGAGGGAGGUUUCGUGAGGAAAUAAAUAUGGGGCACGGAAACACAGUCUUCCGCAUGGAGUCCCCAGAGGCAGUGCAUUUUAAACCCUAAAUGUGGAUUACUGAGUGUCCGAGUGGAGUUUAAAUUCCGUUUGAAGAAACUGGAUAAGGAGUGUUUGUGUGGGUGUUUGUGCGCACGGCUAUAUGGGAGCAGGCACAGGAUCUCAGUGUUGGGGGUGUCCCUAGUGUGCGAUGUCCUCCUCUCGCCACAUUAGGAGAACUCCUUUAGCUCCCCCAAACUGGCCCCCGUAACUACCCUGCCUCGGUUCGUAAGGGGUUAACCAAAACCGAUUCCGAGGACAGACAACCCGCCCCCACAGUCACCCCCACCCACACUCGCUUCCGACCCUGGCCAAGCCCCCAAAUCUUCCCCGGGGACCCCCCACCCCGCAGCCCACCCACCGGAGCGCACAGCUCCUCACCUGAAGGGCCGGGCCACGUCCGGCCUCCCGAAGAGGCUGCGUGCGUCAGGCGGACCACCGCACGUGUCCUCGGCGGCGCGGAGCAGGUUUUUAGUGGAUUCCUUAGGACUUUCUGUAUAUGUAUACAAGAUCAUGUCAUCUUUGCAAGGGUGAUACACUUACAGCUUAUAAACCAAAUUCGGCCUGUUGCCCUGCAAGCUAUUUGGCAUAUGAAGGUCUUGACCUGAGAAAACCAUCUUGGAUAACCGUGGCAAGGAGAAGGAAAAAUGCAACACCUAGGAGAUUUCAGUAAACAGUAGAAUCAUGCCAACCUAAUCUGUGUUAAAAUGCUUGGAAUGUGGGAGCCGCUGAUGAUGCCUGUUGUCUGUGUGUCUGACUGAAUCCUUUCUUUACUCAGAGCAGCAAAGCAAAGCCUGGGAACCAGGCCAAAUGCCUGCCACUUACCUUAAAUUGAUCAGCCACUUUGAGAUUAAAACUCCUGAAAGCUGCCACACCGUGAAAACAAGGCCCCCUUCACAUUAAAGGCAAAUUGCGACUUUGAGUUUGCUGUGAUCUUUUUUCCAUUUUAUCCAGUUUUUCACAGUGCACACUUUUUUUUUCCUUUCCAUUUAUGCUCCAAUGUAGAAGCCAAUAGUUACAGCAUCUUGGCCAAGCAUUCAUUAAGGUUUAUAAGACCAAAAUUUAUGGUUAUUUAGGAGUUGGCACAAAGACAGACUGUUGCUGGAAAAAGAAAAAGAAAUACAGGUGGGAAAUAUAAGCCUCAACAAAGGCCCAUACUAUACAGUAGUGUGCUGGGCUCACAGGAGUGUCUGCAAGGAAAAUACU